GGCGCAGCCUGAUCCAGCCAUGCCGCGUGAGUGAUGAAGGCCCUAGGGUUGUAAAGCUCUUUUGUCCGGGAAGAUAAUGACGGUACCGGAAUAAUAAGCCCCGGCUAACUUCGUGCCAGCAGCCGCGGUAAUACGAAGGGGGCUAGCGUUGCUCGGAAUCACUGGGCGUAAAGGGCGCGUAGGCGGUCUUUUAAGUCGGGGGUGAAAGCCUGUGGCUCAACCACAGAAUUGCCUUCGAU
rnacentral:rRNA from 1 species